rnacentral:rRNA from 1 species
AACGAACGCUGGCGGCAUGCCUAACACAUGCAAGUCGAACGAGACCUUCGGGUCUAGUGGCGCACGGGUUCGUAACGCGUGGGAACCUGCCCUUAGGUUCGGAAUAACUCCCCGAAAGGGGUGCUAAUACCGGAUAAUGUCUUCGGACCAAAGAUUUUUCGCCCUUGGAUGGGCCCGCGUUGGAUUAGCUAGUUGGUAAGGUAAAAGCCUACAAAGGCGACGAUACAUACAUGGUCUGAGAGGAUGAUCAGCCACACUGGGAAUGAGCCACGGCUCAGACUCCUAAGGGAAGCAGCAGUAGGAAAUAGAGUAACAGGAGCGAAAGCCUGAUCAAGAAAUGCCGAGUGAGUGAUGAAGGCCUUAGGGAUGUAAAGCUCUUUUACCCGGGAUCAAAAUGACAGUACCGGCACAAUAAGCUCCGGCUAACUCCGUG